UUCUCUUCUGUUUUCUCCUUCAUCCCCGGCUCUCUUACCAUGCAGUUCUCUUCAUGCUGUUCUCCAAGACUAAAUCUGAGCCUGGCUGAGAUUUGUGGUAAUGAAAAAUGUUAUUUCAAAUUGGAAAGAGCACUGUACUGAGAAAUGGGAUUAUUUCCAAUUCGCUGCAAAACUGAAGAUGCACGAUGCGGUGGCCAGCACUGAGCUGGAAUAUAUUUCUUGAAUGAAUCCUGAUUUCUUGAGAGCUGUGGAGUUUUUUGUCCCUCAUCAGAAAGCCUCAAUUGCAGAACAAGGACUGGAUCCAAGUCUCUUGACUCCUGGCCCAGUAUCCCAUCUGGAACGGGACCUUGUUCUUGACUUGGAGCUCCAUGCCACUGUUAUGCUUUUAUGCAACAG